rnacentral:miRNA from 1 species
AGUUAGAUCAAGCUGGCCAAAAGGUUCAUUCCGGUUUUUCUGUAUCAGCUUACCGAAAAACCCGAACAAACUUCUUGCCCAACUCAAUAUAAUAAGCC